UACGUAGGGUGCGAGCGUUGUCCGGAAUUAUUGGGCGUAAAGAGCUUGUAGGUGGCUCGUUGCGUCGGGAGUGAAAACCUGCGGCUUAACCGCAGGCCUGCUUCCGAUACGGGCGAGCUAGAGUUCGGCAGGGGAAACUGGAAUUCCUGGUGUAGCGGUGGAAUGCGCAGAUAUCAGGAGGAACACCGGUGGCGAAGGCGGGUCUCUGGGCCGAUACUGACACUGAGAAGCGAAAGCGUGGGGAGCGAACAGG
rnacentral:rRNA from 1 species